rnacentral:rRNA from 1 species
UACGUAGGGGGCAAGCGUUGUCCGGAAUCAUUGGGCGUAAAGAGCGCGUAGGCGGCCCUGUAAGUCCGCUGUGAAAGUCAAGGGCUCAACCCUUGGAUGCCGGUGGAUACUGCAGGGCUAGAGUCCGGAAGAGGCGAGUGGAAUUCCUGGUGUAGCGGUGAAAUGCGCAGAUAUCAGGAGGAACACCGGAUGGCGAAGGCAGGUCUCUGGGCAUUAACUGACGCUGAGGAGCGAAAGCAUGGGGGAGCGAACA